UGACUUGUUUGUAAACUAAACACACUGUGAGAUUUAAUCUCUGGUAAGACAGCUUUUGGAUGGGGAUGCCACUACUUAGACAAAUGUCAGGUUCAGAAUAGGAACAAAAUAAGCAGAAGCUAUUAUUAUUAGAUUCAUUGAUUAGCAAGGUAUUUUAAUUUAAAAUUGUCAGUAGCUUGAAGGCAUUUCUUGAAGAGAUGGUAAAGCUGGACUUCGUCCCAGAGAGACUGAUGAAAAGGAAAGAGGAGCUGCACCCAAACAGCUUUCCAGAGCAGCAGCACCAUUCCAUAAUCCCGCCAACAGUCUGUUAGGGAUCUGAUUUCUCCCAUCCUUGCCAACUCUUACUGAGAGCUGGAAUGAAGUACCAGGGCAAGGGAGCUGCUUGGAUGAGGAAACCAAGGCUAUCUCAGCACUGCCAAGAUGUUUUCAUGAUUCAUCAAAAUGUAAAAGAAAACACGAUUAUUCUAUGGAAACAACACAUCACUGGAUGCCUCUCACCAUGCAAUCCUCUGUGCACUUGAGAAGAAGACAAGACUUUCCUAUUUUUAGAUGGGAAAGCUGAGGCAAAACGGAUGCACUUGGGCAAAAUCAUUUGAUAAAAAUGGAAGCAGAACCUCCAAGUCCUGGCAUCGGUAGCUGCCUCAUGUUCCUCCCACCUCACUCCACCUCAGUGUACCCGCGACUGGAGGUGCCACAGGCUGGAGCACACAAAACACUGUGUGCUUCGUGAUUUCUGAUGUGGGGCGCCAGAUCCGGUGGAAGGAAGGUGGCUGCGUGGGAACAGAUGCUCGUGUCACAAGGAGUUGUCUCUUGUGGGCAAAGCA